rnacentral:lncRNA from 1 species
GUCAAACUCCCCUGCCCUGCUAGGCAGAGUGACUUUGUCCUCAGCCAGCUAAUAGUAAAAAACUCUUGCAGUUUGCGUCAGUUGUGGUUUUCUCUUGGGUCAUUGGGGUGCUGGCCAGCUCAUUCCAGGACUUGAGAGGAGGCCCAGCUUCUGAGGUCUUACAUUUGGGGGCUUCUCCACCAUGAUUUGUGGCCUACCCCAAUUCUCAGAGACCCUGCUUGGAGCCUACUUGGGAUGACUGUCAGCAGCUACAGAUUCUUUCACCACAGAGGAGAAGGAGAGGAUUCUGAGAGGAAAGAAAGAGCAUGCUGGGGGCCAAUUGACUACCCAUAAAACUUCUGAAUGAAAUGGAUGCAGCCUUCCCUCUGACAUGUCCUGACAGGACUGACCAUAUGGAGCAAUUUACAAUUUUCUGCUGGGCUCUGAUAAUAGGACUGAAAGGAGCUGGCAGGUGCCGCACCAAUUUGGCCAAGGUAAGAGAGAUCCUACAAGAGAAAAAGGAGCCCCCAGCAGUGUUUUUAGAAUACCUCUGAAAGGUAUAGAGGUGUUACACUACCUUUGACCCUACUUCGGCGUGCCAGCAGGUGACAGGUGUCAUGGCUUCUAUUGGGCAGUAUCCUUCUGACAUUAGGAAAGGGUUACAGCGUCUAGAGAGUCCGAAAAUAUUAUCUUUACAACAUCUGUUUAAGGAGUCAGAGAAAGUGUACCAUAAGAGAGAGAGUGACAAGCCAGCACCAGGGUAUAUUGUGCUCUGAGUCUGCAGACACGUUUAACAUCCCCGAAAGACCCUCAAUAGGAUCAUAAGACCUCUGGUGAAUGGAACACAACCUCUGCUCCAAUCCAAUCUCACAGGAUCUGAGACUGCAUUAAUUAGGGAAGCAGAAAAACUGGCCUGACAAUGGUCACAAGUCCCUCUGGUCUGUGCCAGCACCUGGGCAACUUGUUGGACGGAGUCUGAGGACAGCCCCAAGGUCCUCACAGAAACAUCCACGAGAUCUUAAGACCUUUGUGAAUGGAAAACCACUUCUGCUCCAAUCCUAUCAUGCAGGACCUGAGACUGCAUUCAUUAGGGAAGCAGAUAAACCGGCCUGACCAGGGUCACAAGUCCCUUCCAAUCCAUUACAGCACCUGGCACCUUG